UACGAAGGGGGCUAGCGUUGCUCGGAAUGACUGGGCGUAAAGGGCGCGUAGGCGGUUCAUCUAGUUAGGUGUGAAAUUCCUGGGCUCAACCUGGGGGCUGCAUCUAAUACUGGUGGACUUGAGUUCGGAAGAGGGUCGUGGAAUUCCCAGUGUAGAGGUGAAAUUCGUAGAUAUUGGGAAGAACACCGGUGGCGAAGGCGGCGACCUGGUCCGAUACUGACGCUGAGGCGCGAAAGCGUGGGGAGCAAACAGG
rnacentral:rRNA from 1 species